CUUGAGACUGAGGAUUUUUCCUUUUUGGAACGGAAGAGACGUUUGGGAGAGAGGUUUUUAGGGUUGAUGAACUUCAUUGAGUUUGUUAGAAAGUGAAGAGAAUGAGAAUGAAAAUGAGAAGAAGGAGAAGAAGAGAAUAAGAAGAGGGUUUGUUGAGGGGAAAGAGAGAGGAAGGUGAAGGGGGUUAAAUGGAUGCAGUGAAGGCAUGAAUAGCAGGUCCAUUACUCUUGAGAGUGUAGCUUCCACGAAGUUUCCUAACAUUAAUAGAUUGAUUGAAAAUCAGUGUGUAUACCAUAUUUAUAUUCAUUACUAUUUAUUUUUAUUUUAAAGAGUAGUUAAUGUUUUUUUAAGUCAUGUUUUAGAUUAUUGUCCGUUUCGCCCGAUUUUUUUUUUUUAAGUUUAUGCAAUCCGUUUAUGAAAUAUAAAUUAGAUUUUAUGUUAUUUUAUAAGUUCUUAUUAGUGG
rnacentral:lncRNA from 1 species